CAAGUCGUACGAGGAUCGUCGGGUUAGCAAUAAUUCGGCGGUUCGAGUGGCGCACGGGUGAGUAACACGUGGGUAACCCACCCUUGAGACCGGGAUACCCUCUCGAAAGGGAGGCUAAUACUGGAUACGUUCCCUGGGACGCAAGAUCUGGGGAGGAAAGGCGGCGAAAGCUGCCGCUCUUGGAGGGGCUCGCGGCCUAUCAGCUAGUUGGUGAGGUAACGGCUCACCAAGGCUAUGACGGGUAGCUGGUCUGAGAGGACGACCAGCCACACGGGAACUGAGACACGGUCCCGACUCCUACGGGAGGCAGCAGUGGGGAAUUUUCCGCAGUGGGCGAAAGCCUGACGGAGUGACGCCGCGUGGGGGACGAAGGCCUUCGGGUCGUAAACCCCUGUCAGAGGGAAAGAAGGGUGUCGGCGUGAAUAGCGCCGGCAUUUGACGGUACCUUCAGAGGAAGCCCCGGCCAACUCUGUGCCAGCAGCCGCGGUAAGACAGAGGGGGCAAGCGUUGCUCGGAAUCACUGGGCGUAAAGGGCGCGUAGGCGGGAUGGCAAGUCGGUCGUGAAAUCCUUCGGCUCAACCGAAGAACGUCGGCCGAUACUGCCGUUCUUGAGGGAUGCAGAGGAGAUUGGAAUUCCCGGUGUAGCGGUGAAAUGUGUAGAGAUCGGGAGGAACACCGGUGGCGAAGGCGGGUCUCUGGGCAUCUCCUGACGCUGAGGCGCGAAAGCGUGGGGAGCAAACGGGAUUAGAUACCCCGGUAGUCCACGCUGUAAACGAUGACGACUAGUGUGGGGGGGGGGGGUUAGUCCUUUUCGUGCCGCAGCUAACGCAUUAAGUCGUCCGCCUGGGGAAGUACGGCCGCAAGGUUUGAAACUCAAAGGAAUUGACGGGGGCCCGCACAACCGGUGGA
rnacentral:rRNA from 1 species